UAGUAACGGCGAGUGAAGCGGGAUGAGCUCAAGCUUAAAAUCUCCGUAUAAGUUUUGUACGGCGAAUUGUAGUCUAUAGAGGCGUGGUCAGUGUGGGCACUUGGGGUAAGUUCCUUGGAAGAGGACAGCAUGGAGGGUGAUACUCCCGUUCAUCCCUAAGUGGCUCGUGCGUACGACCCGUUUUCUUUGAGUCGCGUUGUUUGGGAAUGCAGCGCAAAGUAGGUGGUAAAUUCCAUCUAAAGCUAAAUAUUGGUGCGAGACCGAUAGCAUACAAGUACCGUGAGGGAAAGAUGAAAAGAACUUUGAAAAGAGAGUUAAAGAGUACCUGAAACUGCUGAAAGGGAACCGAAUCGUUUCCAGUGUCUAUAAUCCGUGGCAUAUUUCAUUGGCGAGUGUGUGCGUGCGUGUGCUAUGGCAGCGGCUUUUUUGGCUGCGCUUGGCGUGUGUGCUGUGUGUGCUUGCUGGUGCCCUGUGCUGCGGUGGGACGUCAAUGUCAGUUCGUAUGCUGCGGGAAAUGGCUGCCGAGGAGGUAGGGCUUACGCUUGCGUUUGUCUGUUAUAUCUUGGUGGACGAGUAGUCGCGGUUGGGACUGAGGUGCCUACAACGUGCUUUUGAGUGGGCUUGUGUCUCCGUGUGCGCCGUGUGCGGAUAGCUUGCUAUGUGUGUGUGGUUGUGUGUGGAUUGAUGCGAGCU
rnacentral:rRNA from 1 species